CCCUUAGAUGUUCUGGGCUGCACGCGUGCUACACUGAUAUUGCCAAUAUGUCAUUCUUAUCCGAAAUGGAUUGGGUAAUCAAGUAAUGAAAUUUCAUGCUUGGAAUCGGUAAUUGCGAUUUUAUCGUGAACGAGGAAUUCCUAGUAAGCACUAGUCAUCAGCUAAUGUUGAUUAUGUCCCUGCCCUUUGUACACACCGCCCGUCGUUACUACUGAUUGGGUGUUCAAGUGAGAUGCUUAGACCCUUGUUGCAUGGUUCAUUAUUGUGCUCCGAAAGGAAAAAGUUUCAAGCUUGAGUGUCUAGAGGAAGUAAAAGUCGUAACA
rnacentral:rRNA from 1 species